UCCUACGGGAGGCAGCAGUAGGGAAUCUUCGGCAAUGGACGGAAGUCUGACCGAGCAACGCCGCGUGAGUGAAGAAGGUUUUCGGAUCGUAAAGCUCUGUUGUAAGAGAAGAACGAGUGUGAGAGUGGAAAGUUCACACUGUGACGGUAUCUUACCAGAAAGGGACGGCUAACUACGUGCCAGCAGCCGCGGUAAUACGUAGGUCCCGAGCGUUGUCCGGAUUUAUU
rnacentral:rRNA from 1 species